UACAGAGGUCCCGAGCGUUGUUCGGAUUCACUGGGCGUAAAGGGUGCGUAGGUGGCAAGGUAAGUUUGAUGUGAAAGCUCAGGGCUUAACCCUGAAAUGGCAUUGAAUACUACUGUGCUGGAGGUUUGGAGGGGGGACUGGAAUUCUUGGUGUAGCAGUGAAAUGCGUAGAUAUCAAGAGGAACACCAGUGGCGAAGGCGAGUCCCUGGACAACAACUGACACUGAGACACGAAGGCCAGGGGAGCAAACGGG
rnacentral:rRNA from 1 species